rnacentral:miRNA from 1 species
AGCUGCUGGCCACGUCACUAGA